AUUGAACGCUGGCGGCAUGCUUUACACAUGCAAGUCGAACGGCAGCGGGGGCUCCGGCCUGCCGGCGAGUGGCGAACGGGUGAGUAAUGCAUCGGAACGUGCCCAUGUCGUGGGGGAUAACUACGCGAAAGCGUGGCUAAUACCGCAUACGCCCUGAGGGGGAAAGCGGGGGAUCUUUCGGGACCUCGCGCGAUUGGAGCGGCCGAUGUCGGAUUAGCUAGUUGGUGGGGUAAAGGCUCACCAAGGCGACGAUCCGUAGCUGGUCUGAGAGGAUGAUCAGCCACACGGGGACGGAGACACGGCCCAGACUCCUACGGGAGGCAGCAGUGGGGAAUUCUGGACAAUGGGGGCAACCCUGAUCCAGCCAUGCCGCGUGAGUGAAGAAGGCCUUCGGGUUGUAAAGCUCUUUCGGCCGGGAAGAAAUCGUAUGGGUUAAUACCCUGUGCGGAUGACGGUACCGGCAUAAGAAGCACCGGCUAACUACGUGCCAGCAGCCGCCGUAACAC
rnacentral:rRNA from 1 species